GGUCUGGCUUUAGCCCAGCGAUUCCUUAGGAUUAGGGUUAGGGUUAGGGUCAGGAUUAGGGUUAGGGUUAGGGUUAGGGUUAGCUUCCCAACCGCCCGGGCAGAUUAGUCCGGUGGUUUGAGACCUGCGGGCGCUCUCCAGUCCUUUU
ensembl:misc_RNA Vault Vault RNA